rnacentral:tRNA from 1 species
GGGCUGGUAGUUCAGCGGUAGUAACGCCCGCCUUGCACGCGGGAGGUCGCGGGUUCGAGUCCCGCCCAGUCCA